rnacentral:lncRNA from 1 species
GCGGGUUCCGUCCCCUCCUCGCCCCGGCCUGUAACUGCUGCGGGGGCCGCUUUCUGGGCCCGCCCCUCCAGGCCAGGAGCCUUUUUCAAAAUGUGGCGGUGGCAGGGAAGGUUGUCUGCUCCAGAGGCUUCCCUAGAGUGAAGAGCUCUACUAUGUAUGCUUUAUGCGGCAGAAGGAGUGCUUUGGAGGAGUUUUUAAAUUUGUUUUUUUUUUAAAUCUUAUCGGUUUUAAUUGUAGCAAUGAUUCAAGAAACGUUAGUAGGUGCCCAUAACUUCGGUGGUGGAGAUCCAAAAGUGAACAAGACAGUGUUCUGGCUGCUAAAUUCUUCUUAACUGGUUAUGCCUGGAGACCUUCACUUGGUUCUGUGCCAGCACUGCCCAUGAACUUCAUAGACUGUGAUCUUUGCUAAGGCCUAAAUGAAUGAAGUGCAGGUGCAGGACCGGAAGCAGAAGACAGAAAGUGGAGACCAGAUGUUUGAAGCUGGGUAAAGGCAGGGAUGGAGCAGGAACCGAGGAACAAACCUUGGAACUAGAAUGAGGAAAUACUUCCCGG